rnacentral:rRNA from 1 species
AGCAGCCGCGGUAAUUCCAGCUCCAAUAGCGUAUAUUAAAGUUGUUGCAGUUAAAAAGCUCGUAGUUGAAUUUCGGGGAUUGGCGCAUCGGUCGUGCCUCACGGGGUAUGAACUGGUGCAGUCAAUUUCUCACCUUCUGGAGAACCGCGAUGUCCUUAAUUGGAUGGCCGCGGGGAACCAGGACUUUUACUUUGAAAAAAAUUAGAGUGUUUAAAGCAGGCAUUUUUGCUUGAAUACAUUAGCAUGGAAUAAUAAAAUAGGACGGCAUGGUUCUAUUUUGUUGGUUUCUAGGACCACCGUAAUGAUUAAUAGGGAUAGUUGGGGGCAUUAGUAUUCAAUUGUCAGAGGUGAAAUUCUUGGAUUUAUUGAAGACUAACUACUGCGAAAGCAUUUGCCAAGGAUGUUUUCAUUAAUCAAGAACGAAAGUUAGGGGAUCGAAGACGAUCAGAUACCGUCGUAGUCUUAACCAUAAACUAUGCCGACUAGGAAUCAGACGAUGUUAAUUUUUAAUGACUCGUUU